AUUGAACGCUGGCGGCAGGCUUAACACAUGCAAGUCGAGCGGAGUGAUGGUGCUUGCACUAUCACUUAGCGGCGGACGGGUGAGUAAUGCUUAGGAAUCUGCCUAUUAGUGGGGGACAACAUCUCGAAAGGGAUGCUAAUACCGCAUACGUCCUACGGGAGAAAGCAGGGGAUCACUUGUGACCUUGCGCUAAUAGAUGAGCCUAAGUCGGAUUAGCUAGUUGGUGGGGUAAAGGCCUACCAAGGCGACGAUCUGUAGAGGGUCUGAGAGGAUGAUCCGCCACACUGGGACUGAGACACGGCCCAGACUCCUACGGGAGGCAGCAGUGGGGAAUAUUGGACAAUGGGGGGAACCCUGAUCCAGCCAUGCCGCGUGUGUGAAGAAGGCCUUAUGGUUGUAAAGCACUUUAAGCGAGGAGGAGGCUCUUUUGGUUAAUACCCAAGAUGAGUGGACGUUACUCGCAGAAUAAGCACCGGCUAACUCUGUGCCAGCCGCCGCGGUAA
rnacentral:rRNA from 1 species